UACGUAGGUCCCGAGCGUUGUCCGGAUUUAUUGGGCGUAAAGCGAGCGCAGGUGGUUUAUUAAGUCUGGUGUAAAAGGCAGUGGCUCAACCAUUGUAUGCAUUGGAAACUGGUAGGCUUGAGUGCAGGAGAGGAGAGUGGAAUUCCAUGUGUAGCGGUGAAAUGCGUAGAUAUAAGGAGGAACACCGGUGGCGAAAGCGGCUCUCUGGCCUGUAACUGACACUGAGGCUCGAAAGCGUGGGGAGCAAACAGG
rnacentral:rRNA from 1 species